CGACCCGGAGCCGAGCGGGCACAGAAUCCCCGCGUCCUCAGGGCCCGCGCGCUUUGUCGUGUGUGCGUGUGUGAGUGUGAGAUGGUGCGUGACCUCCCACGGAUCUUGCCCCCUCCCAGCCCCCGAAUCCCGAAGGCUGGAUGUACGGACUGUCUGGGUGUGGACAUACUUGUAAGGGACCAGGGGCAGAGCAGAGUCUUGUAAGGUUCAUUGGCGUUCUGGAAGAACCAAGGAGAAAACAAAAUUGUGGCGGGGAAAUGCUCACGGGACACGUCUGUACUUCGCCCUGAAUCUGGAGGACUGAAACAGGUUCCCCCUAGCACAGAGCCUUCGCGCCUUGCGGGACGGAGGGGGAUCCUGUGAGAGAGAGGCUGGGAGGCUCAGGGCGGGAGGGGCCGUUGGCUUCUAGGGGGAGCAAGCUGGGAAAGGGAGCAGCCGGGUGCAGCACCCAUCAGGGUGACGUAAUGACCACACAGCACAGUGAUGUAAUUAGCAACUGGGGUGAAGUCCCCGUGGGCUGGCCUAAUCAAUUGUGUGGAAAUUGGGUCAGGAGUUUUAUGAGGUUGCGCUGGGUCACCUAAAAUACCAUCACAUCGGCAGCCUGCUGCUUCUGCCCUUAGCCUUGUUCCAGCCUUCUGUUACAAUGGGUUGGAAGUUAGGUUCGAGUUUUCUAAUUAGAGCCUACAGGAAAAUACAUUCUCAAACACUGGAGGUUAUUGUUUCCGUUGUGGUACCCUACGAUAAUUACAUUCCUGAGGAGAAACCAAGUUGGAACUUGAAAUGUAGCUAGUGAGGUCAUGGAGGGUCAGGCUAGCAAAGGCCUGGGUGGAAAUGGUGCCAGCUGGGCCACUUGGUUCAGGAUUGCCUGCACUUGAUUGCACUCUCUGCCAGUGAGAAAAACUCCUCUUCCAGGAACUUGCCUUACAGUUCAUUUAAACGCCUGUGUUCCUUUGGUGGAAGAGCUUUCGUUCAAAAGUUGUUCUAAAACAUGAUGGCCCACUUAAAAAAUAUUAUUCAAGUCCUUCUUUGGCACUCAUAUGGGGCACUUUGAUUGCCAUGAGAGAACUCUAUGCAUGCACACACGCAGAUGGGUGAGGUUUAUUACAGCCAACUCUGGGGUUCAGACUGGUGACCAAUUUUUGUUCCUUCCCCUCCAAAAGCUGUUUGACAGCUUAUGCAAGGAGGAGUUCAUUUUUGUUUCUGGGGUUGGUGCGGUGCUGAGAUCCAGAAACAGACUUGAUGGCCGUUUAUUUAUUCCAAAGCUGGUCUUCCUGGGGUUGAACAGUCAUGUGGACAAGGAGCUCAGUGCUUUGACUUCUGCAUGGCUAAUGGAAGUCUGGUAGGUGAUGUCAAGACAUGACAUUUUUCUAAAUCUGAUAUUGUUCCCAACAAUGACACUGAUUCCUAUAGGCUGUCCUAAUCCAAAGCAGCUAGCGGCCUGUGUUACUUUUGCCCAGGCAAAUGCAGUUUUGCUUAUUUUAUUGUGACUUUUAUAGAAAUGGAAGAAUAAUAAAUAUAGAUAGAAGCAGACUCUAUAAUUUCGGGGGGUUCUUUUUGGUCUCAAAUAGUUUUCCAAAAUCAAAAAGAAUUAAAAAAAUAGUUUUCCAUCUGUUUAUGAACACACAUACAAGGUAUGUGUUCAGUGUAACUGAUUAUUAGGAAUAUGAAAUAAGAGUUGCGCUUGCCUAAGUAAAUGAAAAAGAUCCCUAAACAAAAGCAAAAAAUUAAUUUUAUAAUGUGUUUUGAACGAUUGGAGUAGCUCAGAACUUCUUGUGAAUUAGGGCAAAAAUGGAAGUUAAGUCUUGGGUUUGGAGUAAAUUGCUGCUGUCCCCCCCCUCCCCCCAACCAUAGCCACUCCCUAACCCAGAGCAGGGGCCAUCUUCAUUUCACUCUGCAUGCUCUGGGAAAAUGACAGCUGAACAAAGUGUGUCUGUAGUCGAUUGGCUUGGGCUCAUGCUGUCCUGGAUAUCUUUCUAUCUAUCUAUUUAGAUAUAAAUGUAUAUAUCUAUAUAUAUGUAUAUAUAUAGACAUAUACAUAUAUAUGUAUAUAUACAUAUAGAUAUAUAGAUAUAUACAUAUAUACACAGAUAUAUAUAUGUGUAUAUAUAUGUAUAUAUCUCUAUAUAUUUGCCAAGUAACUUAGAGAAUUUAAGAAAUUAGGUCAUUGUGACUACUGUCUUUCAGAAUAAGCAACCUGCCAAGAGGUCUCUGAGUUUCUUUGAGUGCUUUGUUUAAAAUUGGAAUAAUGUAAAUGGUAUGUGUUACAUUUGUUAGACUUGAAAGGCAAUGUAUUUUGGUGGAUUAAGUAGAACCUUGAAAGAUGGUGGCAACCGACCCUGUAAGUGGAGCUAGCAGAAGAAUCCUAUUCAGUCUUUUGGGAGUUGAGGGCUUUAUCAACCAGAAAUCAGAGACUUCAGGAUCGACAAGGGACACUUCUGCCUCUUUGGCUAGGAAAGGACGAGAGUGUGACUUGGGGAAGGUCACUGGUAGUUUAGCGGUAGACCUUGGACUGUUUCUGUCUACUUACAGAGUUUUCCUUCCCUCCCAUUCCCUCCUUUUCCCCGUGUCACUUCCCUAGACAAGCUGUAUGUUUUAUGGGAAACAGAAUCUGAACAUCUGAGCUUUCAAAAGCCUUUUGUUGUUUUCUCCUGUAAGAUUGUUUCAGGCAUAUGAUGCAAUCACAUCCUGGGACCUCCCAAAAUUACCUUUUCUGAGUAUUCACAGCUUUCUUGGUGUCCAGCCAUUCCUUUAGGGUAAUAUGUAACGAUGGAAAAACACAAGGCCUCUGAGCACUGCUGCUUCUCUGAUGUUCCUGGAUCAGCUUGGGAUGCAUAGAUGUGGAGCUCUACCCAUUCUGGCACACUGACUUUCCACAUUGAUCCCAUUCAGUUUUUUAAAAAUUUGUGGCUAUGCAUGCUUUUUGUACAUAAAUCAGAAAAUGGAGAAUUAUAAAGAAGAAAUGAUCUAGCUUCAGAUAAAUUUUCCAUCUUUAUUCUUUUUUUAAAAGAUCUAUUUAUUUAUUUGAAUGGCAGAGUCACAGAGAGAGAGAGAGAGAGAGAGAGCGAGAGAGAGAGAUCUUCCAUCCACUGGUUCACUCCCCGGAUGGCUGCAAUAGCCGGACUGGGUCAAGCUGAAGCCAGUACCAAGGAGCUUCUUCUGUGUCUCCUACAUGCGUGCAGGGGCCCAAACACUUGGGCCAUCUUCUGCUGCUUUCCCAGAUGCAUUACCAGAGAGCUGGAUCAGAAGUAGAGCAGCAGGAACUUGAACUGGUGCCCAUGUGGGAUGCUGGCAUCGCAGGUGGCAGCUUUACCAGCUAUGCCACAGCACCUGCCCUGCUAUUCACUUCUUAAACAAAGACUGUUUAACAUUGCCAAAGCCCUGAGCCUGUAACCUAUAUUAAUGCUUUGCCUAAAAGUUGACCUUAUCUAUAUUAUAUGUGAUUCCUAAAGUUGCAAAUCCAUGGGCCACAUUUAUGUAAUUCUACUUCUAUAAAAUGAGUCAUCACCCUAUGUGUUAGGGUUGGAUUUUAGGUUUGCACAUUGGGGUCUGCUGUCAGGAUUUCUGGGCCAAUCAAAAGAUGAUAUGUCCAGCACCAAAGUCAAUGGAUUUCUUCUUAGUCUCCACCAGUUGUUUUGCAUUCAUGUCACCUUUGAGUUUGUUCAUAUUUGCAUGAGGACUUUCUUAAACACUUUUUUCUGGUGUUUCUAAUUGCUUUUUCAUUUGUUUAUGUACUGUUUGUCUUUAUUAUGCUCUCAGAAGUUUUCUAGACAACUCACUCCAUCUCUUCCAUCAACUCUCCCUGAGCUUUGUGUUCAGCUUCCCUCAUCUUGCUGUGCUGUCUGCGUUGACUGCUCUUCAGGCUCCCAGCAGAGUUGUCAUCCUGUCCUCCUGGGACGGCUCUCCAGGGCUGAAAGUGCUGUUUCCUUUUCCCAUGUCUUCUUUCUUGGUUCAUGCCCUCAUUUUGCCACAGGCCAUGCUGUAGUAACCUCUUAAGGAAUGCUUUUGAGAGAUAAAUUUUUGAAAUCAUUUUCCAUCUAAACGUAUUUGCUUUAAAAGUUGUUCUCAUUUUCCUUAAAAGAGGAAGUGAUCCUGGCUUGUUUUUUUUUCUUUACCAUUGGAUGACAGGAUCAGGGAGCUAUUUUCAUGAAGGGCCUUUUGUCAUUCAAAAUAUGUUGUCUGCUACCUCAGUUUCCUUAUGUGUAAAAUGAGAAUAGUAAUACUUAUCUCAGGGUGGCUUGAAAGAUUAGAUGAGAUAACGCAUUUACAGCAUCUGCCACAUAAUAGAUGCUUGGGACAAGUUAGUUCUUGCCUUCCCUUCCCCUCUCUCAACUCACGUACAUGGUUCACUUGGCCAAAAUCAGAUGCAAAAACCGUGGCAGUAGUGUAGGUGGUUUUCUUUCUUUCUUUUUUUAAGAUUUAUUUAAUUAUUUGAAAGGCAGAAUUACAGAGAGGGAGAGACAAAGUGGGAGAGAUCUUCCAUCUGCUGGUUCACUCUCCAGAUAGCUGCAACAGCUAUGCUUGGGCCAGGCUAAAUCCAGGAACCAGGAGCUUCUUCAGGGUCUCCCACGUGGGUGCAGGGGCCCAAACACUUGGACCAUCUUCUGCUGCAAUCCCAGGCACAUUAGCAGGGAGCUGGAUUGGAUGUGGAGCAGCUGGGGCUUGAACUGUUGCCCAUAUGGUAUGCUGGCAUUGCAGGUGAUGGUUUUACCAAGUAUGCCACAAUGUCAGUUCUGGGUAGGGUGAUAUUCAACUCCUGAUUAUAAGUAUGGCUCUGAAUGACAGUCUGGAUCUGUCUGGAAUUAAAAUUUGCUUUUUAAAUGUAAAGUAAAGAUUUCCUGUUUUAAGAAAACCUACAUGGAAAUGUCCCCCAUGGGUGCCCUGUCACUUGGGCGUCUUGAGCAGAGGGUGCCCAUCCUCAGGAGUGUCUACUUUUUGUUGUUUGGAACCUUCCUUGUAACUUCUAGUUGGGUCAUUUUUGUGCCUGAGAUGGGGGAGUGGACAGCGGUGGAGAAGGGGGAGACAAGAGGGUGGGAGGGAAGGUAGUUGACAUUUGCUGAUGACCUGCUCUUUGCCAGACAAGGCUGUGAGCUGAGUCAGCGCUUCCCGAAGAGAUAGCACCGCAUCACAUGCCCGUGGAAACGUUUUUCACAACCCUAGGUGGUUGUGUACGUCGUCUCCCUUUAACCCUCCCAGUGGCCCUGUGAAAAGGUACAUGUUAUUAUCUCAUUUUACUGUUGAGGAGACUGAGGCUCAAUGAGGUUGAGUAAAUGUUCCGGGGUCACAUAACAGGUGAGUGGCAGAAAUGGGAUUUGAAUUGCGUGAUUCUAAAACCUGUGUUCCUACCCUCACGCCAUGCUGUCUCACGCCAAUUAUGUGCUCAUAAUUAGCCCCUGUAAUUAAAUAUUCUUGGUGACCAGAUAACUCUGGAGUGGUGGAUGGACCAUUAGCAUCUGCUUCUGAACUGAGCCUGAGUGAUCCUAUUUGGAGCUCUUGUUGAUGAUGAUGAGAUGAUGAUGAUGAGAAACCAAGCAAACCAGAAACGGGUAAUAUACCUUCAGUGAGUGCCUAUUUAUAUAUUUUAUUCUCAUCAAGAUUUCCACCAAAUAAAUCCACAUCUUGUGGCAGUAAACACAGACGUGACAGGAAGGGUGGAUGACGGAGGUCCCCAUCCAUCUCAGCUGAUGGCAGGAGAGGGUGCUUUGCUGGGGACUUGUUGACAGUGCUAAUUAGAACAUGUUGGUAGUUUCAAGAAGAAAGACAGCAAUGUUGCUGCUAAACUGCUUUUAUAAUUGCAGCAACUGAAAAUACAUGGGGAUCUUGAAAAGUUUUUGGAAAAUGUAUAUUAUGAGAAAACUAUCCAUGGAUUUCAAAAAUUUUUUUUCCACAAAAAAAAUCUUUUAAUUUCAUUUUCCCACAAACUUAUUGGCAAACCCUUGUACAGUGUGGUAGAGAUCUGAGGCAGCGUUGAGUCUGUUUGCUGACAAACUCAGUUCAGACUUAGAGAAUUUGCAACCUUGAAUCUCAGCUCUUUCUUCCCCUUCCUACCUGAGUUAAACACCUAACCAGAGGCAGGGGUUACGGAAUCAGCCAAUCUAGGGGGCAGUUUUUUUUCUUUUUUAAGAGUGAUUUGGGAGAAUGAGGACCCAGUAAUUAGCUCAUCAUCCGAGGGCUAAUUCUGAGAGGAUGGCUCUUCUGCUCACUGUGGGGCACCAUGAAGACUUUCUUGCGUGGAAAUAUUGGUAAAGCAGUGUUUUCCACAGUGUAUUCUUUGAAACUCUUGUGGGUUCAGAUGUUUUGUGAACAAAGAAUUCCUAGACCAAUAGGUCUGGGGAUAUGUGGCAUGCUCUAUCUUGAAGAUUCACAAUAUACAUUGAAAAUACAAAAGUUCCUUUUUGGAAGAACUAUUUUCGUUUAACCUAGUAUUUCACAAACAUGUUUGAAUGAAUUCUGAAUGUUUUUAUUUUAACCAUCAUCUGUUAGAACACACAUAGGGGCCGGCGCCGCGGCUCACUAGGCUAAUCCUCUGCCUUGCGGCGCCGGCACACCGGGUUCUAGUCCCGGUCGGGGCGCCAGAUUCUGUCCCGGUUGCCCCUCUUCCAGGUCAGCCCUCUGCUGUGGCCAGGGAGUGCAGUGGAGGAUGGCCCAAGUGCUUGAGCCCCACACCCCAUGGGAGACCAGGAGAAGCACCUGGCUCCUGCCAUCGGAUCAGUGCGGUGCGCCGGCUGCAGCGCGCCGGCCCUGGCGGCCAUUGGAGGGUGAACCAAUGGCAAAGGAAGACCUUUCUCUCUGUCUCUUCUCUCUCACUGUCCACUCUGCCUGUCCAAAAAAAAACCAAAAACCAAAAAACAAAACAAACAAAAAAAAAAAACCCACCACACAUAGGGAUGUUCUACAGAACACACUUUGGGAAAUCUUUUUGUGAACUUCAUUAUUAUUUUUAGAGUUGGACUUUCAUGUUUGAGGCUAUUUAAAGUUUUUCUUUUCAGUGUGCUUUAUGUGUAUUUGCUGUAUUUUCAAAUAUUUAUUUGAAAGGCAGUUGCAGAGAGAGGGGGAGUGGGAAAGAUGGAGAGAUCUUCCAUCUGCUGGUUCACUCCCCAAAUGGCCACAACAGCUGGGGCUAGGCUGGACUGAAUCCAGGAGCCAAGAACUCCAUUUAGAUCUCCCAUGUGGAUACCAAGGACUCAAAUACUUGGACUGUUAUCUGCUUCUUCCCAGGUGUAUCAACAUGGAGCUGGAUUGGAAGUGAAGUAAUUCAGACACUCUGACAUGCUAUGUGGGCAUUGUAAGUGGUAUAUUAACCCAUUGUGUCACAACACCAGCCCCUUCAUUUAUAUUUUUUUAUUUAUAGUCAACUACCAAAGCAUACAAAUAUGUGAGAUGCUAAGAAUGUAGCAGUAAGAAAUGACUCAAGGGGCCAACGUUGUGGCAUACUGGGUUAAGCUGCCUUAUAUGACGCCAGUGUCUCAUAGGGGGACCAGUUUGAGUCCCCAUUUCUCCACUUCCAAUCCAGCUCCCUGCUAAUUUGCCUGGGAAAGCAGAACAUGGCCCAAGAGCUUGGGCCCCUGCACCCACAUGAGAGACCUAGAAGAAACUCCUGUUUCCUGGCUUCAGCCUGGCCCCACCCGGGCUGUUGGAGCUGUUUGGGGUGUGAACCAGAGGAUGGAAGAUCGCUUUGUCUUCUCUCUCUAACUCUGCCUUUCAAAUUAAUUAAUUAAUUAAUCUGGAAAAAAAAAAGAAGUGGCUCUAAAUAUCAUACAAGUGGGGUGUAGAGGAGAAAACCAACAAUUAUAGUCCAGUAGCAGUGUAAUAGUAUCAUAAUCCUAAGGGAAUGCCAUUCUCAAGUACGGCAGACUCCUAUGAGGAAUUCCAGUGUGGGAGCUUGCAAGGCAAAUGACUAAAAAAGAGAAAAAAAAAAAAAUCCCAACAUUUCUUCCUUGUCAAGUACCUACCGUGGGCCAGGCACUGUGCUUGGAUGACACAAUAUCAAUUAAGACAAAUAACCAUUUUUGCCCUCAUGGAGAUGACAAUACAAGAAAGAGAAGUAAGAAAAUGAUCCAGUUAUAGUACAGUACUAGUGAUUGCAUCACAGUCCUGAUUUUAGAGACUCUACACAUGCAUGUGAAUGUGUGUUUAUGUGUGUGUGUUGCAUGAGAGAGGAAGACAGAGAAGAACACAUCAAAUAUUGGUGAUUUCUGAAAUUAUGGAUGAUAUUUGUUGCCUGAUUUCUACAUUUCUGGAGAGAAUAGGCCUUGUACUACAGUAAACAAGUAUUUCUCCUUAUAUCAGUGUGGGGUUGUAAAGAAUGUAAGGGAAAGCAAGCAAGCAAGCAAACAGCAAGUGAGGCUUGAAGGUGGAAUUGGCCAGGUAUGGGGCUGUGUAAGUGGCAGCUCAGUGUCUGACAACUGGGUUUCAUGGUACUAAAUGGGUGUUCUUUGGGAGCUGCUUGGGUGUUUCUUACUUUGAAAUGAACUGAACACAGCAGUUGCUCAAAUCUCAACGAAAAUCGGCACAAAAGUCCCCUGAGGAUAAAAAACAGGCUAGUGACAAAUCGUGGGUGACAUAGAUUUCUUUCGCCUUGUUCUUAGUUGCAUGUGCUCCUUCCUGGGCUUUAGCCUUUAGUCAGUGUCCCGUGGAGACGCAGCAAUGAUGAAUAAGAAAGGAAAAGAUGAUGUUCGCCUGCUCAGCGUGAAGGAAUGUGCACUGAGUGCGCAGGGCCGUGCCGGGCGCAGUACACACCUGUGCAGGGUCAUGCCUGUCUUUAUUCCAGGUUUAGGCGCUCAUGGGGGCUGCCCUUUCCUGAAAGAUCUGGAGCUGAUUCAGCUAAUUGACAGUGAAAAGUCCUUGAAGCCCCCUGAGUGCUAGAAUCGUGUGUGCGAGGAAGUGCGGGAUUGACCUGUCACCUCAAGCAGCCGGCAGGCUCUCUGGGGAGAGAAGAGGAACCCAGAUAAAACUAGCUAACAGCUGGUUCCAACCUGUGUGGUGCUGCAGCCUCCAGCAGCUGCACCCGGCAGGGGUGGCUUGGGAGCCCUCUUGAGGUGUGCCCUAAGUCAGUCAUUUUAUUAUGGUUACAGGUCCGAAACGUGUAACCGUGCUGAACAGAAGUUUGUUUCUCCCACUGGCUGUGUUCCCUCCAGCCUGGAACUUGGCACAAGCCGAUGCCUGUGCCUAGAACAUUAUUUCCCUGCUUUUGGUCUGGUUAACACCAUUGCUGCUUUUAGGCAAGGGCUUCUGGCCUGCCACAGGCUCUACUUUUAGAUGCUCUUGCUACCUCUGCCAUAGCUCCCUGAGUUUCAAAGCCAUAGCACUGGUCCCCACGCGGACAAGAAUGGUGUUUGUUUUGCUUGAUGUUGUAAAACCUGGAUGUGAUGCAUGACACACAGUAGGUAUUUAAUAAGGAAGAGAUCCUGUAAUUUUUCUUUGUAAAUAUUUAUUUAUUUAUUAGAAAAGCGAGUAACAGAGAGAAGGAGAGAUCUUCUGUCUGGUGGUUCACUCCUUAAAUGUCCAGAUUGAAGCUAGGAACCUGAAACUCCAUCUGAUUCUCCCACAUGGAUGGCAGAGACCCAAGCACUGGGCUGUUAUUUGCUUUCCCAGGUGCAUUAGUAGGAAGCUGGAUUGGAAGUCGAGCAGCCGGAACUGGAACCAACACUGAUAUGGGAUGCUAGCACCAGAAACAGUGGCUUUACCCACUGUGUCACAAUGCUGGUCCUAAAAUCGUGUGAUUUUUCUUUUCUUUUCUUUUUUUUUUUUUUUUUUUUGAAGAUUUAUUUUUACUUAUUUGAAAGAGUUACAGAGAGAGAAGUCUUCCAUCAGCUGGUUCACUCUCCAAAUGGCCACAAUGGCUGGAGCUGAGCUUAUCCAAAGCCAGGAGCCAGGAGCUUUUUCCGGGUCUCCCACGUGGGUGCAGGGCCCUAAGGACUUGGGCCAUCUUCUGCUGGAACAUAAGAGGAGCAGCUGGGACUCGAACCAGCGUCCAUAUGGGAUGCUGGUGCUUCAGGCCAGGGCUUCAGCCCAGUGCACUACAGCACCAGCCCCGGCCCCUCUCCCCUCUUUUUUGGCCAUCUUUUGGUCAUUUGCCUUGCAAGCUUACACACUGGAAUUUCUGAUAGAAAUCUGCUGUGCUUGAGAAUGUAAUCGCAUCAUGUCUGUGCUCCUUGGACUGACAGUUUAGAAUGGAAGUUCCAAUUUUGGGAUCGCAGAAGGUUCAAUGUUCAGAGAAGUCUCGGUAAAGGAGGUAGGACAUAGAUGGAGUCCUGAAAAAUGGGAGAGAUGUAGUGGGUAAGCAGUCAGCCCUUCCUGGAAAGAGGGAAUGGAAAGAAAUGCAGUGUCUGAAGUGAUGAGGGUGCGUUUUUCGGGCCAAGGAGAGUCUGACUUGUCUGGGUUAAAAGAUAAGUGCUGACUGCCAGAUGACCACACAUCCCAGAUCCUUUUAAACCUUCUGCUGGGAAACAACCUCCCUACCUCUUGCUUUUGAAAUACACCAAUCCUAGCUUUAUCUGAACACGGCGUAGGAGUCCAUCAGUGUCCCCUGUGUUGACAUCUUACUAGUUGUUUAGAGAACCAAGCAUUUUAUACUGACUUAAAAGAUUGUGAGAAUGAUUGAGCCUUUCGCAACAAUUCCCCUACCCAUCUGCCAUAACUUCAGCUUAGUAAAUGUAGCCUUUGCUCUCCACGGCUGUGGGGUACCAGCUUAACCCUUGACUCAAGGCCUGCCCCCACUGAAUCUGCCAUGUCUGCUUAUAAAUGAAUAACUUUUGAGUCUAGUUCCAAGAAUACUGUCAUGUGGCUUUUGGAUAGUUUCUCUGAGUUUGAGCAACUGGGCACAGACGAAAUUAAGAUUCUGAAAUCACAGUCCUCCUUACCAAGGCCCACGGAGGCCCUGUCCCCAGACCAUGCCUCGCCUGAGCAGCCAGUGGCCUCCCUCUCCAGUACAUGCUUUCUAAACUCACAAGUUAGUGCCUGCAGAUGGCCUCUGAAAAUUAAAAGAAAGAAAUUUUUUGAGUUAGUCAUAAACAAAGCAAUUAAAUAGCACAAAACAUACACUGUGAGAAAUCUUUCUUUUAUCCCGUCCCUUCUCCCAGUGCCCCCUCCAGAGCCAAGGUUUCUUUCUUUCUGUUUUUGUUUUGUUUUAUUUAUCUGUUGGAAAGUCAGAGUUACACAGAGACAGGAGAGUCAGAGAGAGAGAGAGAGAGAGGUCUUCCAUCCACUCCCCAGUUGGCUUCAACGGCCAGAGCUAAGCCCAUCUGAAGCCAGGAGCCAAGAACUUUUUCGGGGUCUCCCAUGUGGGUGCAGGAGCCCAAGGACGUGGGCCAUCUUCUCCUGUUUUCUUAAGCCAGAGGAGAGAGCUGGAUGGGAAGUGGAGCAGCCAGGACUCGAAUGGGCACCCAUAUAGGAUGCUGGCACUGCAGGUGAUGGCUGUACUCGCUACACCACAGCGCUGGCCCCUAGGGUUUCUUUCUGUCUUUCCUGAGAAAUUGAGUAUAAGCAUGUAUGUCUGUAUGUAGUAAAUGCGUGUGUCCACCUAGACCAUUUUCAGUACAGUACACAUGGUCGUGAGCUGUUCACAUUCUUCAGGACCUCCCCUUUUUUCCCUAAUUAUAUCAUGGAGCCCAUUAAUCUUCUGUACAUAAGUAUCUGCUUUACUUCUUUUUUUUUUUUUUCAAAAAAAAACUGGUUCUCUACUGUCCAACAUUAAAUUUGCUUCUGAUUUUCUCUUUUUAAUGCUGAAGAUCACAGAUGCCCAAAUACCAAUGGAGGGAGCAAAAUGGGGAGUAAAUUCUUCUGAUCUUCCUCAAUAGAAGUAUCUUUUUCACUAGCUUCUCUGUUAACAAAUUUGUCUGUUGUCUACUAUCAGGAGUCUGCUUAUCUUACUCAAGGGUGUUACACAGGUCUGGCCAAUGGAUGCCCAGAGUGGUUGGCAUGCAAGUGUGAAGUGGGUGCUCAUAUAUCAGUGCUACUCAAAUUGUGGUCCCUGGGCUGAAUCGGUACGCAGCUGUAACUGGCUCCCGAAGGGCUGGGUUAUAGACAUCAGAGUGUUUGGCAAAAUGGCAUUGCCGUGACAUUCGAGCUCCUGAUCAGUGGAAUUGUCUUGUGAAACAGGGUAUUUUGGGUGUGUCAGACUUGCGUGCUGAGUCACAUGUGGUCUGAGCUGUGUACAUCGCAUCCACGACAGGACUGUCUUGACAGAACGGCUGUUCACCAAACUAUCAGGCAGUUUGAAAAGCGCUGAUCUGUUUCUCCCUCCCUCCCUCCUCCUUCCCCUCCCUCUCUUCCUUCCUCUUUUCCAUCUUUUUACCAAUCAUUUUAUUUUUCCAUCCAUCUUUAUGACUAUUUUACCUGUCAAAUCAAGCAAUCAAUUAACCACACCUAUCAUUAAUUUUAGACUAACCAGUCUAAGAAGUUGAAUAAUAAGUGUCAAUAUGAAAUCAAACUGUACAGCAUAGAGAUUGUACUUUAUCUGUUUUUGAGUACUUAGCACAUCUUAUGUCUUUGACCCCUACACUAACUCUGUCUCAGAAAAAAGCUUUGGCAUACCUCAAUUUUGAGCACUCCAGUUACAUCCAGUUUCUGUUCUUUAGAGUGCCCAGCCUGCAAGCUUGCCAGCCACAGACUCAGGAAUCAAAACACAGUGAUGGGGAAAAAAAUACACGUACUCGAUUGUUUAUUUAAAAAAUAUUCCUUUGUGAUGGCUUUUCUGAAAAUAUUAAGAUAUGGUAUAUUUGCCUGUGAAAGACGUUUCAAAGAUUGAGGGAGCAACUGUAAUAAAACAUCCAAAAGCAGACAAUGCAAGAAAUGAUGAAUAUAACUAAAAUGAACAACAGUACUUUUAGUGACUAGGUUUUAUUUGGUGGGCUGUUAAAAAUUCUGGCUUUUGGGGCUGGCACUGUGGCGCAGUGGGUUAACGCCCUGGCCUGAAGUGCUGGCAUCCCAUAUGGGCGUCGGUUCUGUCCCGGCUAUUCCUCUUUGAUCCAGCUCUCUGCUGUGGCCUGGGAUAGCGGUGGAAGAUGGCCCAAGUCCUUGGGCCCCUGCACCCGCGUGGGAGACCGGGAAGAAGCUCCUGGCUCCUGGCUUCAGAACGGCUCAGCUCCGGCAGUUGCAGCCAAUUAGGGAGUGAACCAUCGGAUGGAAGACCUCUCUCUCUCUCUGUCUCUACCUCUGUCUGUAACUCUGACUUUCAAAUAAAUAAAAUAGAUCUUUAAAAAAAAUUCUGGCUUUUGUAAUAAAAGUAAUACACAGUAAUAAAAAAGUUCAAACAGAACUGAAGGCUACAAAGUGAAGCGUUAACCCCGCCACCCUGACUCGGCUUCCUGAGGUUAUUCCUCAAAACUAACCACUGUUGACUGUGUAUCCUCUAAGGAUCUAUAAUGUGUGUGUGUGGGUGUGUGUGUGUGGAUUAAAUUCUGGAGAACUUGGAGGUGACGUGGUGCAGCAGGUCAAGCCACCGCCUGGGAAAGCCGAGGAGGAUGACCCAAGCCCAGGGGCCUUUCCACCCAUGUGAGAGACCUGGAUGAGGUUCCAGGCUCCUGGCUUCAGCCUGGAUGAGCUCUGCAGCCAUUUGAGAACUGAACCAGGUGAUGGACGAUCUCCCUCUCUCUCUGUAAAUCUGCCUCGUAAAUAAGUAGAUAAAUCUUUAAAAAAAUUCUGGAGGAUUGGAUGUGACGACUGAUGAGGAGUCUCCGGGUAAAAGGCCUUGUUGGAGAAAUUGUUGUUCAGAAGCUGGGAUUUGGUUUUGUGGAUCAGGAAAUUUAUGUAUUUGGGGCUCCAAAACUAAUCAGAUUUUAAAUUUUUUACUUAUUAUUGAGAUGCAGGAUUAGGGGGCCAAGAGAGAGAGAGAGAGAGAGAGAGAAAAGGAUGUCUCCCACGUGAUGAUUCAUUCCCUGAAUGGCUACAGCAGCUGGGGCUCAACCAGGCCGAAGCUGGGAGCCAGGGACACAAUUCACGUCUCCCAUGUGGGUGGCAGGAGCCCAACUACUUGAGCCAUUGCUGCUGCCGCGAGGAGCUGGAGCCGGGCAUUUAACUGAGUUGCUGUGAUAUGGGAUGCAACUGGGUCCUAACUGCUCUGUUAAAUGAUUGCUCCUGGGGGUACAAAUUUUACUUUCAGGGUCCUCAGAACUCAUCAGCAGUGACUGAAAUAGUCUCCAUUCUGGAGUGAAGCCACUCACCAGAGUGAUUUAUGUAUUGGAAAGUUGCUUUUGUAGGCCGGGAGAAAAGGAGUGAAAUCAUUUGAGAGGAUUACAUCAGGGUAGUGAGAGAAAGAGGUGAAGGAAGAUUUGCAAAUUGCUGGCUGUAAAAUGACACAAUGAUGGUACCUCUGAUUGUAGUAAGCAGUGCUGAGAGGGCUGGAAGCGGUGGAGAAGGUUGUCAACACGCUGAAUUGGAGAUGAUUUUAAGAUAUCCAAAGGAGUUACCUGGUGGGAGGUGGGUACUGUAUAAUGAAGGGGCUUCAAAAAGCUCAUGAAGUGAGUGGGCAAUAGAUGCAGGUUCCCUCGCAGCUUGGGAUACUUGUACCCCAUAUCAGAGUCCCUGGGUUCAAGUCCUGGCUCCACGUCUGAUCCAGCUUCCUGCUGAUGUGACUCCCAAUAGGCAGCAGCUCAUGGCUCAAGUACUUACAUGGGUCCCUGCCACCCAUGUAAGAGACUCAGACUGAGUUCCUGGCUCUUCGCUUCAGAUUUCUCUCUCUCUCUACCUUAAAUAUAUAUAUAUAUAUAUACACACAUAUACAUAUAUAUAUAUAAACUGUUCAUGGAAAAUGUGUAUUAUGAAAAAACUGUUCUUGGAUUUCACAGUUUUUUUACACCAAAAUAAACAUACCUUUUUAAAAAAUAUUUUUAUCUAUUUAUUUGAAAAAGAGGGAGAGAGAGGGGAGAUCUUCCAUAUGCUGGCUCAUUCCCCAAAUAGCCAAAACAACCAGGGCUGGGCCAAAUUGAAGCCAGGAACUCCAUCUGGGUCUCCCACCUGGGUGGCAGGGUCCCAAGCACUUGGGGCGUCUUCCACUAUUUUCCCAGAAGCAUUAGUAUGGAGCUGGAUUGCAAGUGGAACAGCCAGGACUCCAACCGAGGUUCUGAUAUGGGAUUAUGGCAUUGCAGCAGCUGCUUAACCUACUGUGUCUCAUUAUUGGCCCCAAACUUAUCUUUUAAUACCACUUUUCCAACAACUUUCUGAAGCCCCCUCAUAUAUUUGUAAGAUUAGUCAAAUGCACUUAAGGGGGGGCCCGUACUGUGGUAUAGUAAGCUAAGCUUCCGGCCUGGGAAAGCAGUAGAAGAUGGCCCAAGUGUAUGGGCCUCUGCACCCACGUGGGAGACCUGGAGGAAGCUCCAGGCUCCUGGCUUUGGAUUGGCCCAGCUCCAGCCAUUGUGGCCAUCUCUCCCUCUCUCUGUCUGUAACUCUCUCAAAGAAAUAAAUAAAAUCUUUAAAAAAAAAAAAUGCAGAUACGGGUGAGAUCCUUUUGAGAGAGGUUAUCUCCAUGGUGUCUUCCACAGUGGCUGCACCAGUUUACAUUCCCACCAGCAGUGGAUUAGGAUAGCUUUUUUUCCACAUCCUCGUCAGCAUUUGUUGUGAAAUCAGUGUUUUAUAACUGAGAUACGUUAUAAGACUUGGGUAAAAAUAUUAGUCUAAUUGAUGUGAUAAUUACUUGCCAUGAAGAAAAUCAGACUCUGCUCUUAGCUGUGGCAAAGUCUUUGUCACAGUUGGUAGCACAUGGGACUGCUACUACCAGGACUCAUUAUACAGCCAUAAAAAUAGCAGAUUAUAUUUGGAGAAUACCAGUUAAAACUUUAUGGCUUAGAAUAUUAAGUAACUAGUUUUCAGGAAAGUGUGUAUCUUUCCUCUCUUUGCUAGAACUGAUUUGGAUACUUGGAAAGGGGGUUCUGGGAUUAAUGCUGGUAAAUUCUCUAGGCCGCUUUGCCCUUUCCCAGCAUAGGUAAAUAAAGUGCUUGAUGAUGUCAUGCUGGUUAGAGUUUGAGACCAAAUACGUGUUGUAGUUAAAGCCUGAUUGUGUUUAAAAGGCUGUUCUGCGGCGUUUUGCUGAUUGCAGCACCUGGGAGCCUAGUUACAGGUUUGGAAUUUGUAUAUACCAUCUGCGUUUUGUAGCAAGGCUAACAAUCAUAAAAGAGGCGGUGAACUUCAUUGCUGGUUAAAAGAUUAAUUAUGUUUUCUAAAGACACAUUUUCUAGUGCAGUCGUCCUCACUUCCAUGGACCCUUGUUUUGGGUUCUAUGAAGGAUAAGCCUGUGUAUAUGGACCUUUGGCAACUACGGGUUCUUCUUGCAUAGUCAUAUCAUCCAAUGUAUAGUUCCCUGUUUGUGCAUUUUCACAUAAAAUGCAACAGAAAUCUGUAUUGCAGAACAUCCUGAGGGAAAAGACAGGCAUGGCGUACAGAUCUGUGACUCAGAAAUUAAGCUGUAACCGAGCGUACUUUUUAAAAUAUAAUCCUUCUUUCUGAGGCCUUUUAAAAAGUGUAGCUAUCUUGUCUAUAGUCUAAGAGAAGUUAAACGUGAGCCACUGGUCCUGCAUGUCUGCAUUCUGAGGAUGAGGAUGGAAGGGCUAUGCUUUGGGCUUGGGAAAGUUCUGCGAUGGCCCAAAGGCUGUGAUGUGCAGGCAACCCUGCCAGGCCGUUGUUUCCUUGUAUUUCCUGUUGCUUACAUUUUAAUAACUCUGGAGUAGCUGGUGAUUAUUAACAUAUUUAACAGUAGGAGCAGAAUAGUGUUGGGUCACUGUGGACAGUUUGGAGUGUCAACAUUAAAGAAAUGAUUUUAAAGGUUAGAUUUCCAAACCGCUGAAGUCUUUGAAACUUGGGCAGGUGAGUAGAGCAAGAACUGGCCCCAGCGCAGCCCUUUUUAAUUAUUAGCCAUAGUGGAGUGAGUCAGGUUUUGUCACGGUGCUUUUCGCUUAACCUAAUAAUUGGCCAGCCCUAGUUAAUUGGUUGAAAACCAUUAAACGACUCAGACUUCCCAGUUGCACAUGCAAUGGAAUGUCCAGCUUACCUCAUGGCUGUGAGUAAAGGCACCGUGGUCUGGCUAAUUAAAGUGCCUGUCCAUACUCACCUCAAAGAAAAGCGCCACCAACAAGUUAGGUUUUAAGAGUUCUCAGAAGGUCCUUCUGAGGCCUGGUAAACAAACGGCGACCAACACGUACCUUUUGAGUCCAGGUUUGAGAGCUGAAGAGAAAGAAUAUUCUAAAUCUCCAGGUCAGCCUCGAGAUGUACUGAUGCUGUGGAGUUGCUUCAGCUGAAGGGAAGGAUCAUAUUUACUCCCAAUGUACUACAAGUGGGUUUUCCAACAGUGUCUGUUUUGUAUGGUGAGUGUUGAAGUCUGCUAAGAACAAAACAAAAGCUUAUAGUGUGGCGAGAGAGGACACUGCACAAUAAGUACUAGCUAAUGCCACUGAAAUUGCAGGUUUCAUUUCUGAAAAGUAAAGGUGAGUUUCUAAAUAAAUAUUUUUUAAAUUUGAGGAUUUUUUUUGCCAGUGAUUUGAUAUAUAAGAUAAUUAUAGCUCUGAGUGUGUGCAGAUCUAGUCUAUUACAAUAGAUAAUAUAUCUGUGUAGAAAGUAAAAAGUCAAUAAAUCACAAGGGCAACUAUGUUUUAGUGAUCACUCAGGAGUUAUUUUCAUAGAAAUCAGCCAUUAUAUAAAAGUAGCUCAUUGGCUAUAAGUAAAAUGGCCUCAUCUGUCACUUUUUAAAACUGAAUGAUUGAGCCAAACUAUUUUUUUUAGACUUAUUUAUUUAUUUGAAGGUCAGAUUUACACACAGAGAAAGGGGGCGGGGUGGAGAGAGAGAGAGAGAUCCUCCAUUUGAAGGCUCACUUCCCAAAUGGCUGCAAUGGCCAAGGCUGGGCCAGGCUAAAGUCAGGAGUCAGGAGCUUCAUCUGAGUCCCCCACGUGGGCGCAGUGCCUAAGCACUUGAGCCACCUUCUGCUGCUUUCCCAGGUGCAUUAGUAGGAAGUUGGAUUGGAAGUGGAGCAGCUGGGACUUGAAUUGGCACUCAUGUGGGAUGCCAGCAUUACAGGCAGUGGCUUAAUCCACUGUGCCAUAGUGCCGACCCCAAACUGUCUUGGUUUUAACUUUUAUCCAUAGACAAAGUCAUUGGCUUAUGAAAACCAGCUGAAGGACAAGCUGUCAAAACUUUUAAUAAGCCUUUUAAGAUGUGACUGUGGGGCCGGCACUGUAGUGUAGUGGGUAAAGCUGCUGACUGCACUGCUGGCAUACCUUAUAGGCACUGGUUCAAAUGAUGACUGCUCCACUUCUGAUCCUGCUCUCUGCUAUGCCUAGAAAAACAGUAGAGGAUGGUCCAAGUGCUUGGGCCCCUGCACCCAUGUGGGAGACCUGGAAGAAGCUCCUGGAUCCUGGCUCCUGGCUUCGGAUUGGUGCAGCUCCGGCUGUUGCGGCCAAUUGGGGAGUGAACCAUUGGAUGGAAGACCUCUCUCUCUCUCUCUCUCUCUCUCUCUGCCUCUCCUCUCUCUGUGUAACUCUGACUUUCAAAUAAAUAAAAUAAAUCCUCUUAAAAAAAAGAAAAAGAUGUGACUGUGUGGGACAGAUAAACAGUUGAGAUUGUUUUGCUGGGGCUCUGCAUAAGUUUUGAAUACCAGAAGAGAGUGCAUGGAGUUAACAGUCGUUUCUGAUCCUGGUGGAGAGGUACACAUCUGAACACAGCGAGAAGAGUAAAACUGUUGCAAAGAGGGACUUUGUAAGAAGAGUAGGCCCAAGCCGGCGCCGCGGCUUACUAGGCUAAUCCUCUGUCUUGCGGUGCUGGCACACUGGGUUCUAGUCCUGGUCGGGGCGCCAGAUUCUGUCCCGGUUGCCCCUCUUCCAGGCCAACUCUCUGCUGUGGCCAGGGAGUGCAGUGGAGGAUGGCCCAAGUGCUUGGGCCCUGCACCCUCAUGGGAAACCAGGAGAAGCACCUGGCUCCUGGCUUUGGAUCAGUGCGGUGCGCCAGCCGCAGCACGCCAGCCGCGGCGGCCAUUGGAAGGUGAACCAACGGGAAAAGGAAGACCUUUCUCUCUGUCUCUCUCUCUCUCACUGUCCACUCUGCCUGUCAAAAAAAAAAAAAAAAAAAAAAAAGAGUAGGCCCAGCUCUUAUGAAAAAUGGGCUGUGUGAACAAGGGAGAUGCAGAAAGUCAUACUAGUGCCCUGUGUAGUGCCAGAAUCUCAAAGAUGAAUUUCCGGUGAGGUGGUUUGUGGAGAGGGGGCGGGUCAUGGGGUAAGCUGGACAAAUGUCCAGCAAUGUAAGGGUGCUUCAAAGAAGACCUUGAGAUGUUUUUGGAUGUCUCUUGCUUAUAGGACAAGAUCCGAAAUAUUGCAUAAGUUGUUUGCUGGAAGAGAGGAGAGGUGUAACUUGAGUCUGUUCAGAAUGAUAAGGCGAAACAAGGGGUUCAUUUCAGGGUGCUUUAACAGAGCAGCCUUUGAGGGCCAUCACCAGAGCUUUUCGGAGUGGGCAGACUUGAGAGCAGAGCAUGUCACCAGGUGUCUCACGGAGUCACACGCAGGCUGCUUGUGUUCAUGGCUGCCGGUGAUACAGUGGCGGCCCCAGACCUGCGGCUUGUGUAGAGAUGCCCAGGUCUCUGCUGGAGUCAGUGCUCCCGAGCUUUCUCUCGAAGGCCUGAUGGCAGAGUGGCUGGCUUUGAUUUGCUUCCUGUCUGGGUGAAUUAAAAAACCUGUUUGUUUCGCCUGUCAGCCGGCUGGGCCUUACCCAUAAUUCCUGAACUUUGAUUAUGGGGGUUAUUAAAGGACAAGAGCUCCUUUGUAAAAGAGCAUGUUUAAUACUCUGGGGUCUAGCGUGACUAGCGGAUAUAAAUUGUAUGGAAGCAAUUAAAUGCGAAGGAAAUGUCGUGUGGGCUGAGUUUAAACGUGCAGACUUGUGGCAUUUAUUUUCUUGACUUACACUGAGAUGGAUGGAGAGGGAAAAAUAAAGGAAGAGCGAAGAAUACAAGACCGAGAGCCAGAGAAGCACCCACAGAGACAAGGAGGGAGAAGGAGUCACAUUUGCACAUUUGGUUAAAAAUCCAAAGUCCAAGGCUGGUAUCAGGCGAAUGCCAUUGCCCUUUAACUGAACUCUUAAAAACACAAAUGUCAGGGAUUUAUACUUCGCUUUGGAGCUUGUAUCUCCCGUCUGUCCCCUUCGUCUCAACGUAUGCGUGUGCAUAACAGGUCAGCGGGAGAGAGGUGGGAUGUGUUAAUAAAGGGGCCAGAAGGAGGCUCCAUAAAUGACUAUGGUACUUUUUACUCUAGUUUUCUCCAAUUUUAUGCUCACACCGCUGCAUAUUUCAUCCUCAGUGGCUCAUCUUUGGACUUCCAGUUAGAAGUGGGGUGUUGUCGUUGCUCUUGCUUCUGGAAUGUUCUCCAUCUCUGUACUUGGUCUGUUAGGACUCAGCCAGGGAAUCUGUGUCCCCUACCUGGACCAGCUCACCGGAAGCCAUCCCCUCUGGAGACCCUCAUGGCAGUUUGAUCUGUCCCUACUUAAUCUUUUCUGUUGUCUAGUAAGAUGCUGAGGAAGGUUUGCUUCUAAGUGAGUGAGUUGUGUCAUUCCCCAGAUGUGUGGACUCUCAGAAUGUGGACACCUGUUGUAUGUCAUGCCAUCACAUCUUGGUACCAGGGAGUAUUUGCUGAGCUCAAUGCUGAUAUUGAACGUGUUGUUGAAGUAAAUUGUCACUGGAUGAUCAGAAGCAGAAACAGAUGCUUUUAUAUAUUGGAUAUGCCAACAGAAUUGAUUUGAAAUUCAGUUUAGAAAUAAUGGACAAGGCUGGUACUGUGGCGCAGUGGGUGAAAGCCCUGGCCUGAAGUGCUGGCAUCCCAUAUGGGCGCCAGUUCGAGACCCAGCUGCUCCACUUCCAAUCCAACUCUCUGCCAUGGCCUGGGAAAGCAGUGGAUGGCCCAACUUCUUGGGCCCCUGCACCCGCAUGGGAGACCGGAAGAAGCUCCUGGUUCCUGCUCCUGACUUUGGAUCGGCACAGCUCUGGCCAUUGUGGCCAACUGGGGAGUGAACCAUCAGAUGGAAGACCUCUUCCCCCACCUCCCCGCCUCUCCUCUCUCUGUGUAACUCUGACUUUCAAAUAAAUAAAUAAAUCUUUAAAAAAAAAAGAAAUAAUGGACAAUCUUUUAUUGUUUGUCUUGCUAGAGAGUACUUAUGCCAAAAGUUUUUUUUUUUUUUUUUUUUUUGGGGGGGGGUGAAGAUUUGUUACAGACAGAGAGAAGGAGAGAAAGAGAGAGAGAGAGAGAGGUCUUCCAUCUGCCGGUUCACUCUGCAAAUGGCCACAACGGCCAGAGCUGAGCUGAUCCGAAGCCGUUAGCCAGGAGCUUCUUCCAGGUCUCCCACGUGGCUGUAGGGGCCCAAGUACUUGGACCAUCUUCCACUGCCUUCCCACGCCAUCAGCAGGAUCGGAAGUGGAGAGCUGGGACUUGAACCAGCACCUGUAUGGAAUGCCAGCUCCACAGGCAGAGGCUUAACCUACUAUGCCAUAGUGCUGGUCCCAAAUGCUUUCUUAAUAUCGCCUUUAUUUAGAUCACCUGGUGAUUAUUUCUUAUGUAAUAAGUCAAAGCUAUUAUUGAGCAUAUAUUGUAUGCCAAGAAAUGGUAUUGUACUUAGCACAAAGAUGUCAGAAGAAUCAGUUAGCAACAGCUAUUUAAAUACAACAUCAAGUUCAGAUUUUUGUUGUUGUUGUAUCCUAAUUUGUCUUUUUUUUUAAAAUAAAGAUUUAUUUGAAAGGCAUAGUGACAAAGAGAAAGAGAGUGAGAGAGAUCUUCCAUCUGCUGGUUCACUCCCCAAAUGCCUGUAACAGCAGGGGCUGGGUUAAGCCAGAGCCGGGAGCAAGGAACUCCAUCCUGGUCUCCUAUGUGGGUUACAGGGACUCAGGCACUUGAGUCAACAUCUGCUGCCUCCCAGGGUGUAUUAGUAGGAAGUGUGGAGUAGCUGGGAAUCAAACCAGGCACCCAGAUAGGGAUGAGGGUGUCUUAACCAUUAGGCCAAACACCUGCGCCUUGUCCUCCUUUUAAACAGGAGCUCCACAGGCCUACCUCUACCCAUAGAACACCAGCCGUGGCAGGUCAGUGUUCUUUCUCUCGCUUCCCUGGGCGCCUCACCGGGCAUGCUUUUCAGCCAUUUCUUGGGCAUGGACCUUCCUUAGCAGGGAGUAGUCAUUCUUUUGUUUUCUGAUCUGUUUCUCCCAGCAGGUCCACCCUCUAGAGCAAGGAGCAAGUCUUAGUCUUCCUAGAAUCCAGGGAUGAAUGAAUGAAUGAGGGUAAAAAGACUGAGAAAGGAAACUGAUGGGAUAGAAUGAUGUUUUUCCUUCUUGCUGCUGGUGUAUCCAGAAGCUGGCUCACGGAGUUUGUGAUAUGCAUUUACACGAAUUUAUCUAACAAACAUGUAGUUAGCACUUACUCUGUGCCAAGCAUUGUUCUAACACUGUCCACGCGUAAUUGUCCAACAAUUGUAUAAUAGGAACACUAUUUUUAUCCCCCUCUUUACUCAGGAAACUGAGAUCCAGGGCAUUUAAGUAACUUGACUAACGUCAGCACCAGUAACGCCUUAAACCCAGGCAGUCUGGGCCCAGAGGCAGGGCCCUGGCUGUCCUUUGCCCUCCCACAGGCCUGGAAGUGGUUGAGGUUUUGUUUUUGGAAUCUCUCCUGUUUUCUUUCUGCCUCUCCGGUUCUGUUGCCUCCACUCCAGUGUGAUGAGUGCAGCCUACGGCCCGCACCGCAGUCCCUUGCACACCAGAGCCAGGCUAAUCUUCCUUAGGAACGUUCUCAUCCCGUUGUUUGCUGCUACCCAACACUCCCUGGCAUCCUGCGCUGUCAGGACUGACCUCUCGCCUGCUUCCCAACCUUCUCCAGUGUAAUGUCCCAGCCCUGCUUGUCCGGGCUCCCUUCCCUUGCUGACCCAUGUGCUGACACGGCUCCUGGGCGGUGCCUGUCCCCUUCCCUGGUGUGCCCUUGCUUCUGCUGCAGCUUCCAUCCAGCCCAUUCACCCUGCAGGUCCAGCCGGGCCUUCCUCCCUGCCCAGCUACUCAGCUCAGAGGAUCUUCACCUUCCUGGGACCAGUGCUGUGGGCUGCUGGCCAUGACUUCCUUGUUUCAGGCUUUUUUUUUUUUAAAUAACAUGUCUUUUUUUUUUUUUUUUUUUGGAUAGGCAGAGUGGACAGCGAGAGAGAGAGACAGAGAGAAAGGUCUUCCUUUUGCCGUUGGUUCACCCUCCAAUGGCCGCUGCGGCCGGCACGCUGCGGCAGGCGCACCACGCUGAUCCAAUGGCAGGAGCCAGGUACUUCUCCUGGUCUCCCAUGGGGUGCAGGGCCCAAGUACUUGGGCCAUCCUCCACUGCACUCCCUGGCCACAGCAGAGAGCUGGCCUGGAAGAGGGGCAACCGGGACAGAAUCCGGUGCCCCGACCGGGACUAGAACCUGGUGUGCUGGUGCCGCAAGGCGGAGGAUUAGCCUAGUGAGCCGCGGUGCCGGCCUGUUUCAGGCUUGAUAAAGCCCACCUUGCUUUAAGCUCGCUGUUCCUGGCCUGGCACUGAAUUGAGUUCCUGAAGUCAUGGGCAUCUUUGAAACAGACAUUGAGCAGUGGGAUUCGCGGGCAGGGCACAUUUUGGACACUGAUUUAGACUCUAAUAUUGGGCUUGGUUUCCUCAUCUUUAAUUGAGAAACUUGAAGAAGAUUUUACCCAAGGUUUCUUUUCAUUUACUUCACCAAUUACACUUAUUUAUUUUUAAAACAGGUGUACCGAGAUAUAAUUUACAUACCAAAUAAUUCAUCCAGUUAAAGGGUAUCGUUGGGUGUUUUUAGUAUAUUCACAGAUACGUGCAACCAUUCUCACAGUCAAUUUGAGAACAUUUUCAUCGGCAAAGAGAAUCCCCUAUCAGCUAGGCAAUGAUUGCUAUCACCUCUGCCCUGAGCCCGCCUCCCCUCGGCUCUCCCUGCCUUAGGCAGCCAGUAGUCUACCUUUGUUUGUGCAGCUUUGAUUGUUCUGGACAUUGUGUGUAAAUGAAAUCAGAUCUGGUCUUCCGCGUUAUAGCACAUAUGAGUAUUUCAUUCUUUAUGGCUAAAUACUAUAGCAUUGAGUUGCCAAUAGCAGUUUCUCUCUGUUGCUUUAGAGGUAGGAGUCUGGACCGAAUGGCUGUGUUUGCACAGUGGGGUUGGACAGGUUGAAUCCUUGGUCUUCAUGGCAGAGAGCAGUCCUAGGGAGUCCUCAGCUUGUCAGUGUUAGAGAGGUGGAGUGCCUUCCAACCUUCCCUUCCCAGCUUGUAGCUCAGUCCCCAUCCUAGCUGCAGCUGUCAGCAUGGACCUACUUGGUCUUGGUGGGACAAUUGCACGUGUGAUCUUGGCCUGCCUUGAUCCUGUGUAUAGAUUUGUGCUCCAGUCACUACUCUAUCACGCUGAUUGAGCAGAAUGGCUAACGGAUGAGACCUUUUUACCUCUUUGAGAAGAUCCAGAGGAAGUCAGUCAUUCUUUGAGGGUAGGCAGGGAAGAUGGAUCACCUCCUCUGGAGGUUUUCUACCCUGAAGUGUGUUGUCUCAGAGUGUAGCUUGUCACCAGGAGCUUGCUAUGGCUAUUAAGCAUCUAUUGGCUUAUGUAUUUGGGGUUUGCCUGUGACAACACAAAUGUCUUUUUUUCUUUUGGCAUCUGCUGCUCCGCUCCUCAAAUGCCCACAACAGCCAGGCAUGGGCCAGGCUGAAGCCAGGAGCCAGAACUGAACAGGUAGCAGGAACUCAACUGCUUGAGCCACCAUCUGCUGCCUCCCAGCGUGGACUUCAGCAGGAAGCUGGAUCGGAAGCAGAGCGGGAACUGGCCCCGACAUUCUGAUGCGGAUUGCAGGCAUCGGAAGCUACAGCACACCUGUCCCUGGCAUCCCUUUUUAUCCGUUAACUCUGCCCUUCCCUUCAUUAGAUUUUGACCCUUUUCAGAACUAAGUAGAACUUAGAAACAAGGAAGGAAUAGGCAAAGAAGAUUCUGUUUGCUCCAUCUAAAUGCAAGCUGCAAAAACGUGUGCGCAUGAUUCCUGGGGCGACUUCAAGGCUCCCAGGUCUACAGCAUGACCCUGGAGAAGGAGGGGUUUCAUCAUUUGUGUUAUUAGCCUGUCUCAUUACUGUCGGCUUCGGGACUCUGCUUUCCUGUUGCCCCUUGGGCUGAGGUGCCCUUAUUUACAUGCAGGCUCCUGUUUGUCAGCUCAACAGGCAGAAGCGCUUGGGCACGUGACUAGGGCUUCACAUGAAGCAACAAGCCCUGCCCUUGUAUUGCUGGCUCACGGCUGCCUGGAAGAUACAGUGGGCUGAGCAGGACUGAGCAGGUCUGAAGGAAGAGCGAGUAGAAAUUCUGGUCAUGUGUCCCUACAUGUGGCUUCAUUUGCCAAAGAGGCACCCAGGCGGAGUGGAAACAGUAAAUGGCCUGAUCAUUUUAGAUCCUUGUCUUUUGCUGCUGCUCUGAGAUAAGUUACUGGUUUCCUUUUAUCCUGCACAGAACACCUUUCUCUAUCUCUCCCUGUUCAUUGUUAGAGCUGGAGGCAGUAGUGAAAUGAAAGACUUCCAUUGAAUGCAAGUUUUUUUUUUUUGGGGGGGGGGGACUGACACUCUUAGAAUUAUGAUCCACCUAGCUAUUAGAAUAUUAUUUAUUGCAAAAAUAGUUUAUAAUGAUACUUGGGGCCAGUGUUGCGGCUAAUCCUCUGCCUGCAGUGCUGGCACACCGGGGUCUAGUCCUGGUCGGGGCGCCAGAUUCUGUCCCGGUUGCCCCUCUUCCAGGCCAGCUCUCUGCUGUGGCCAGGGAGUGCAGUGGAGGAUGGCCCAAGUCCCUGGGCCCUGCACCCGCUUGGGAGACCAGGAGAAGCACCUGGCUCCUGGCUUCAGAUCAGCGCGGUGCGCCGGCCGCAGAGGCCAUUGUGGAGUGAACCAACGGCAAAGGAAGACCUUUUCUCUCUGUCUCUCUCUCUCUCACUGUCCACUCUGCCUGUCAAAAAUAAUAAUAAUAAUAAUAAUAAUACUUGGGCAUUUGUUGCAAAAGGAAAAAAGCACUGAAAAUAUCAUUCUAAUACCCUUCAAGUUUCUCCUUCUGCUUGCAUAUGUUGCUUUUCAUUAUUAUAGUCUUUCACGAUCAGGUAUUCCAUAGUAGUUGGACUGAUAUAAAAGGACUUUUCUGUUUUGCUUUCAUUCUCCAAGAUUUGAAACCUCCAGGGGCUUUUAAAUGCAUUUGUUGUCAGUCAUGUCCAAAACAAUAGAUGAUUAUCAAAGAUUGCUGUGGUAGGGAAGGAUUAUCUUCAUGGCCUUUGAUUCAGUCUUCAGCAAAUGGAUAGCAGCUCUUUGGACAACACAUGAGAGAGACUAAUUUUCUCUGAUUCAGAAAUGACAAAGCAGAGGAGUGAUGCUGAGGAAACCAUGGAUUUAAGUGGAAAGAGCUUUUGGAAGCCGUAGUCAAGCUUGGCAGGUUCCUCAACCUGACAGAUAUUCAGCUGGGUCUCAUAGGUGAUCCUUGAGGCCCUAUUCUGGAAGGGUAUAAAUAGCCUAAAAAAAAAAAAAACCAAGACCAAAACCAAAAGAACCCCCAGGAAACAGGAAGUACAA